rnacentral:lncRNA from 1 species
CUCUGGCCGAUUAUGUCGUUAUCUCGUUAGCGCGAGGCUCCGUGUAAAGGCCGCCGUGCCGGUCAGUUUGCAUAUACUGUGCCGUCGUGCAAGGAUGUUGAGUUUGCGCGUUUUUUCCGUCGCGGCCUUUGCCGUCGCCGCCGUCGCGACGCCCGUCGACGCCGGGAAAGUGAUCUGCUACUACGAUGGAUGGUCUUACCAUCGAGAUGGAGUGGCAAAGACCUCAAACAUCACAGAAGCAGCCGCACUCUGUGAUCAGCUGUACUACGGCUACUACAAAAUAAACUCGGACUAUGAACUCGAAACCUCCUACAAAUACCCUUACGUGAAGGGCGCCAACAUCGCGACAGCAAAUAACAUGAAAGCGAUCAACCCUAACCUGAAAGUCCUUCUAGUUGUGGGUGGAAAUGUGCCCAACAGAAAUCGGACCGAGCUCUGAGUGUGGUAAAGUUUAUUUCAUUUCAUUCAUCAUUAAAUCAGUUCCUCAGUUGUACACGGCGUUUUCUGAAAUCUUCAGCAUUUCUUCGUCUCUUGAUGAAGGAGCACGACAAAAAUAUGAUGAACUUAAAGCGCUGGUUGACUGAACCACUACAAAAUGGGCCGCGUUUAGUAGAAAGGAACCAAACCACACCAACUAUGGCCUUUAAUUCAAUUUUUUACAAGAAUCGUUUUCUGCGGAUUCCUUUGAAAAUUUCAGGAAUUUGAUUUGCAGUAUACAGGAAAUUUACCGAAAUUUUUACAAAAAUCCGCACAACCAUCAUUAUGUAAACAAUUAAAUUGCCCAAUUAAAUUCGGCUGGAACAUUUCCCCCCGGCUAGGUGGGAAAGCCCAUCAAAAAGGGGUUUUUUUGGGAGCAAAAGGAAGAACAAAACUUGGUUGUGGUUAAGGCGAAACAAGAGGGAGAGGCUGACUAGCGAAAAUGAACAAGGACAAGACUACACGGAAUAAAGAAAAAAAAAACACGAUAAAAAGAAAAGGGCUAGGUGACGGGCUUAGCCCCCGUCAGGGCAUACUACAGCUUUUACUUACAUUUCACGAUAAAAGAAAACCGCAAGGCAAGGGAACGUACAGCCGCAGCUGCUUUCGACAACGAAAAUCGAAUAAGAGAAGGAAUGCACGAACAAACAAGAAAAAAGAGUGGGGGGCCAAGUAGUGCUAGUAGUCGCCACGUGACCACUAGCGCUACUUGGCGGGCUCAAAUUUUUGAAAAAGGAGGGAUAGGGGGAACACCCCGUUACACGGCAAUAGCUGAUGUGGUUUGGUUCCUUUCCGCUUGAAGCGAUACAAAUGCGGCGGCUUUAAGAAACAAAGAAGCCUAGUUAUUACGGUCCCUAGUCGGAGUGGAAAAACUGUUAGUCUCUCCCGUGAAGUUUUUACAACAAUUUUUGCUAAACCUGCCUAAAACGCAAACCUUUGAACAGAUUAAUUUCUUCGCCAGUGACGAAGAUACAUGUAGAAUACCUGUAAUGCCGUGCUGGGAAGAACGCCAUAUGAAACUUCAGGUGUUCCCGAGUUUCCGCCGAUAAAGAAUGAAUUUCCUGGUAAACUUAAGAAUAUUUAUCUUCCAAUUUUACUGAUAAUUUUGUUCGCAAUUUAACCUAAAGUUCCAGAAAAUUUAAAAGAAAACGUUCAUAGCUUUCCUCAAAUAUAGACAUUCUAUCGAAGGAAAUUUGGCAACUCUCGAAUGUUCAUACGGCGUUCUUCCUUAGCACGGUAGUAUACAUGGAACAAUUUUGAGACCAAUUUCGUACCACUAUGUUGAUACCAUAUUGGGGUCAACAUGGUACCACUAUGUUGAUACCAUGUUGGGGUCAACAUGGUACCGUGUCUCGCCCUCCAUUACAGUGCCGGAAGGGUAUAACAUUAUCGCUUUUAGCAGAGUAUGCAACUUCCGCCAUUUUUUUACUUCCUAAAAAAGAAUAACGAACAACUGAAUCAGCCAAAACACAUAACAAAAUAACAACUUAAUCUGGGGAAAGGCUGCAAAAAAUACAAAAGAUAAAAAUGCUCUUAAAAAACCCCGGAACGAUUCGAAAAUAAUAACAAUCUCAUUUUCAACCGGGCGAAAGGAGGAAAAAGAACAAGGACAAGGAUCCUGAGAAAGGAUCUGAUUGGAAACUUUCCGGUUUCCCUAAAGUUCCCGGUAAUGUGUUGUUUUAAAUCUGUUUUACCAGGAAACCUUAAAAGUUAAACUUAUGAACAUGCACAUAUACACGGUCAUCACCCACACUUUGAAAAGCCAGCGGGAAUGUGCCUGCGGGUUGAUUAUUAAAAUUGAUAGACUAAGCUAUAGACAAAGAAUACAUACUAAGUAUGGAGGGGUCCUAUUGGUUGGCAUGAGUAGUUCCCAGCAAGCUAAUGCAGACUAAGGGCCGAUUGUAAGACUUCUGGUCAGGUGCUUGUCCAAGUGGUAGUUUGGAGCUGACCAGAGCUUGGCCAGAGGUAGGUGUGUAUGACUCCCGGUUUUCUUCAGGUCAAGUCCCGGUCAGCCUUUGUUCUCUCUCGCAAACCAGUAGUUAGGCUGAUUAGCAGAUUGAUUGCUGGUCAGAGUCUGACCACUGGUUUGGUGACCAGAGGUUGACAAGAGAUUUUACAACCGGCCCUAAGGGAGCAAAUGAUGGACUAACUAUGGGGUCUCUCAUAGGUUGCUGUUAGUUAGCCAAUCACUAUCUCUUUUGUCCAUUGCAAUCACACGCCUCCACCAAUAGAAUCUCUCCAUAUCCAUUUUGUCCUGUUUGUCUAUAGCUUUGUCGAUAGAUUUCACUGAUCAGCCCGCUGAGAAUGUUCCUGGGAACGUUCCAUUGCCGUAUACGACCCAUGACAUUCCCGGCAACCCUUGAUUCUAUUCAUAGAAUUUCAUGAUGUCAAAGACGACAGAACCAACCAGAGAUGGACCUCACAGUAUUCAUACUCUUACCAUAAAGGCAUAGAAAAAAGGGGGUGCUUGCAUUUCGGGCAUAUUGGACUUUCUUGAUGACGUUGGUAGGCACGGACAAUUU